GUGGGGAAUUUUGGACAAUGGGCGAAAGCCUGAUCCAGCAAUGCCGCGUGUGUGAAGAAGGCCUUCGGGUUGUAAACUGCUUUUGUACGGAACGAAACGGUCCGGGUUAAUACCCUGGGCUAAUGACGGUACCGUAAGAAUAAGCACCGGCUAACUACGUGCCAGCAGCCGCGGUAAUACGUAGGGUGCAAGCGUUAAUCGGAAUUACUGGGCGUAAAGCGUGCGCAGGCGGUUUUGUAAGAUCGAUGUGAAAUCCCCGGGCUCAACCUGGGAACUGCAUUGGUGACUGCAAGGCUGGAGUGCGGCAGAGGGGGAUGGAAUUCCGCGUGUAGCAGUGAAAUGCGUAGAUAUGCGGAGGAACACCGAUGGCGAAGGCAAUCCCCUGGGCCUGCACUGACGCUCAUGCACGAAAGCGUGGGGAGCAAACAGGAUUAGAAACCCCUGUAGUCC
rnacentral:rRNA from 1 species